CCGCAAGGUUAAAACUCAAAUGAAUUGACGGGGGCCCGCACAAGCGGUGGAGCAUGUGGUUUAAUUCGAUGCAACGCGAAGAACCUUACCUGGUCUUGACAUCCACGGAAUUCGGCAGAGAUGCCUUAGUGCCUUCGGGAACCGUGAGACAGGUGCUGCAUGGCUGUCGUCAGCUCGUGUUGUGAAAUGUUGGGUUAAGUCCCGCAACGAGCGCAACCCUUAUCCUUUGUUGCCAGCGGUCCGGCCGGGAACUCAAAGGAGACUGCCAGUGAUAAACUGGAGGAAGGUGGGGAUGACGUCAAGUCAUCAUGGCCCUUACGACCAGGGCUACACACGUGCUACAAUGGCGCAUACAAAGAGAAGCGACCUCGCGAGAGCAAGCGGACCUCAUAAAGUGCGUCGUAGUCCGGAUUGGAGUCUGCAACUCGACUCCAUGAAGUCGGAAUCGCUAGUAAUCGUGGAUCAGAAUGCCACGGUGAAUACGUUCCCGGGCCUUGUACACACCGCCCGUCACACCAUGGGAGUGGGUUGCAAAAGAAGUAGGUAGCUUAACCUUCGGGAGGGCGCUUACCACUUUGUGAUUCAUGACUGGGGUGAAGUCGUAACAAGGUAACCGUAGGGGAACCUGCGGUUGGAUCACCUCCUUACCUUAAAGAA
rnacentral:rRNA from 1 species